UACGGAGGGUGCGAGCGUUAAUCGGAAUUACUGGGCGUAAAGCGCACGUAGGCGGCUUGGUAUGUCGGGUGUGAAAUCCCCGGGCUCAACCUGGGAACUGCAUCCGAAACUGCCUUGCUCGAGUAUGGGAGAGGGAAGUGGAAUUUCCGGUGUAGCGGUGAAAUGCGUAGAUAUCGGAAGGAACAUCAGUGGCGAAGGCGACUUCCUGGACCAAUACUGACGCUCAGGUGCGAAAGCGUGGGGAGCAAACAGG
rnacentral:rRNA from 1 species